rnacentral:rRNA from 1 species
UACGGAGGGUGCAAGCGUUGCUCGGAAUUAUUGGGCGUAAAGGGUAGGUAGGUGGUCUCAUUUGUCCGGGGUGAAAGCCUUGAGCUUAACUCAAGAAGUGCCUCGGAAACGGUGAGACUAGAGUACUGGAGAGGGUCGUGGAAUUCCCGGUGUAGCGGUGAAAUGCGUAGAGAUCGGGAGGAACACCAGAGGCGAAGGCGGCGACCUAGACAGUAACUGACACUCAACUACGAAAGCGUGGGGAGCAAACAGG